ACCAAAUAUGGCAUGAAUGUUCCUUAUGAGGUGUUGACCAAUUGUUGUUACUUUGUAGCCGAUCCAUCAUUCAAGAUGGCCGCCAGCGGGGACUUAGUUUAACAUAGGACCCUAUGGGAAAUGCAUACAAAUGACUUCUUUUAGAAAACCACUGAAUGGAAUGAAACCAUACAUAGCAUGAAUGUUCCUUAUGAGGUGCUGACC
rnacentral:lncRNA from 1 species